GACGAACGCUGGCGGCGUGCCUUACACAUGCAAGUCGAACGGAAAGGCGCCUUCGGGGGCACUCGAGUGGCGAACGGGUGAGUAACACGUGAGUAAGCUGCCCUUGAUUUCGGGUUAACUUCCGGAAACUGGGGCGAAUACCCGAUCGGAAUCCUUCCUGCAUCGGGGGGGUUGGAGAGCUUCGGCGGUGUUGGAUGGACUGGCGGGUUAUCAGCUUGGUGGUGGGGUAGUGGCUUACCAAGGCCGUGAUGGGUAGCCGGCCUGUGUGGGCGACAGGCCACCUUGGCCCUGAGGUACGGCCGCGACUCCUACGGGUGGCAGCAGUGGGGAAGAUUGCGCCAUGCGCGGCAGGCGGAGGCAGCAGGGCCGCGUGCGGGAUGACGGCUUUAGAGUUGUAAAACGCUCUUAGCAGGGGCGAGGCUGGUGGUGACGGUACCUGAAGAAGAAGCACCGGCUAACUACGUG
rnacentral:rRNA from 1 species